AACCUUGAAAUACCACCCUUUAAUGUUUGAUGUUCUAACGUUGGCCCCUGACCGGGGUUGCGGACAGUGUCUGGUGGGUAGUUUGACUGGGGCGGUCUCCUCCCAAAGCGUAACGGAGGAGCACGAAGGUUAGCUAAUCCUGGUCGGACAUCAGGAGGUUAGUGCAAUGGCAUAAGCUAGCUUGACUGCGAGCGUGACGGCGCGAGCAGGUGCGAAAGCAGGUCAUAGUGAUCCGGUGGUUCUGAAUGGAAGGGCCAUCGCUCAACGGAUAAAAGGUACUCCGGGGAUAACAGGCUGAUACCGCCCAAGAGUUCAUAUCGACGGCGGUGUUUGGCACCUCGAUGUCGGCUCAUCACAUCCUGGGGCUGAAGUAGGUCCCAAGGGUAUGGCUGUUCGCCAUUUAAAGUGGUACGCGAGCUGGGUUUAGAACGUCGUGAGACAGUUCGGUCCCUAUCUGCCGUGGGCGCUGGAGAAUUGAGGGGGGCUGCUCCUAGUACGAGAGGACCGGAGUGGACGCAUCACUGGUGUUCGGGUUGUCAUGCCAAUGGCACUGCCCGGUAGCUAAAUGCGGAAGAGAUAAGUGCUGAAAGCAUCUAAGCACGAAACUUGCCCCGAGAUGAGUUCUCCCUGAGACUUUAAGUCUCCUGAAGGAACGUUAAAGACGAUGACGUUGAUAGGCCGGGUGUGUAAGCGCAGCGAUGCGUUGAGCUAACCGGUACUAAUGAACCGUGAGGCUUAACCUU
rnacentral:rRNA from 1 species